rnacentral:rRNA from 1 species
GACGAACGCUGUCGGCGUGCUUAACACAUGCAAGUCGAACGGAAAGGCCCUGCUUUUGUGGGGUGCUCGAGUGGCGAACGGGUGAGUAACACGUGAGUAACCUGCCCUUGACUUUGGGAUAACUUCAGGAAACUGGGGCUAAUACCGGAUAGGAGCUCCUGCUGCAUGGUGGGGGUUGGAAAGUUUCGGCGGUUGGGGAUGGACUCGCGGCUUAUCAGCUUGUUGGUGGGGUAGUGGCUUACCAAGGCUUUGACGGGUAGCCGGCCUGAGAGGGUGACCGGCCACAUUGGGACUGAGAUACGGCCCAGACUCCUACGGGAGGCAGCAGUGGGGAAUAUUGCACAAUGGGCGGAAGCCUGAUGCAGCAACGCCGCGUGCGGGAUGACGGCCUUCGGGUUGUAAACCGCUUUCGCCUGUGACGAAGCGUGAGUGACGGUAAUGGGUAAAGAAGCACCGGCUAACUACGUGCCAGCAGCCGCGGUGAUACGUAGGGUGCGAGCGUUGUCCGGAUUUAUUGGGCGUAAAGGGCUCGUAGGUGGUUGAUCGCGUCGGAAGUGUAAUCUUGGGGCUUAACCCUGAGCGUGCUUUCGAUACGGGUUGACUUGAGGAAGGUAGGGGAGAAUGGAAUUCCUGGUGGAGCGGUGGAAUGCGCAGAUAUCAGGAGGAACACCAGUGGCGAAGGCGGUUCUCUGGGCCUUUCCUGACGCUGAGGAGCGAAAGCGUGGGGAGCGAACAGGCUUAGAUACCCUGGUAGUCCACGCUGUAAACGGUGGGUACUAGGUGUGGGGUCCAUUCCACGGGUUCCGUGCCGUAGCUAACGCUUUAAGUACCCCGCCUGGGGAGUACGGCCGCAAGGCUAAAACUCAAAGGAAUUGACGGGGCCCCGCACAAGCGGCGGAGCAUGCGGAUUAAUUCGAUGCAACGCGUAGAACCUUACCUGGGUUUGACAUGGAUCGGGAGUGCUCAGAGAUGGGUGUGCCUCUUUUGGGGUCGGUUCACAGGUGGUGCAUGGCUGUCGUCAGCUCGUGUCGUGAGAUGUUGGGUUAAGUCCCGCAACGAGCGCAACCCUUGUUCACUGUUGCCAGCACGUUAUGGUGGGGACUCAGUGGAGACCGCCGGGGUCAACUCGGAGGAAGGUGGGGAUGACGUCAAGUCAUCAUGCCCCUUAUGUCCAGGGCUUCACGCAUGCUACAAUGGCUGGUACAGGGAGUGGCGAGCCUGUGAGGGUGAGCGAAUCUCGGAAAGCCGGUCUCAGUUCGGAUUGGGGUCUGCAACUCGACCUCAUGAAGUCGGAGUCGCUAGUAAUCGCAGAUCAGCAACGCUGCGGUGAAUACGUUCCCGGG